rnacentral:tRNA from 1 species
GCCUGUAGUUUAAUGGUAGAACACGGCAUUCGCAUUGCCGAGGUGGCAGUUCAAUUCUGCCCAGGU